ACCAAACACCAUCACUGACGGUGGAGCCUAAAACAGAAAACCGUUAACAGGGGUUGACUAACACAAUGUUGCACCCUUGACGCAAUAGUUAAUGGCGAGCAUUGGUUGCAAACGGUCGUGUUUCGAAACUCAAAGCGGCAAAAUAACCACCAUUACCAUACAUCAAAUAAUGACAAAUAAAGAAAAACCCAUACUUUUUUGAAUUUUCCUCAAACAAAAAGCAAUAAAAAUAAAAACCUAUAACAAACAAAUCGUUCAAAGAAACCAUAAAAAUUGUUGGUUUAAAGUUUAAAGUGAAUUGAAAUUGAAGUGCGGAAACUUGAACAGUGAAGUGAAAAAUCCAAUCAGUCUAGAGUAAAAAUUAUUUGAAGGUGGUUGAAAUUGAAAGGAGUUGAAUAAAGUGCUGAACCGAAAAGUGGUGUUGAAGCGUUACAUUUGCUUAAAAAUAUAUUAAAAAAAAAUAACAUACACACACAGAGCAGAGAAAAACUCACAUUUCCUUUUGGCUUUAACUGUUCAUAUUUUCCGUUUCGUUUGCCCGUUUCCUUACCCGUUACACUCGCUUGCUUUGGGGGUGUUUGGUGUUCUCAUGGCAACGUAACUAACCAACCAACCAGCCAACCGAAAACAAAAAACAACAACAACAGAAACAUUAAGGAAAAACUUAUUGUUAAUAUAUCAAUAUUGGAACUUUUUCUUUUGUAUAUAUACCUACCGAUAUAUAUAUAUACAUGUACGUUGAAAAGGAUAACAAAAGGAUAAUGACCUAAAAUAAUGUUUGAGUGUGAAUGGCAGUAAUUUAAUUGGAACCCAUACAAUUUAUGCAACCAAUUAAAACUUUAAUAAAUCAAUAGUAAAGGCGAAAAUAAUUUCAGGAAGAAGGACGAACACAAGGAUGCAAUAUCAUUUACAAAGGCUACAACUAUGAACAUUAAAUAUCCUUAAGCGAAAUAAGCUACAAAUACACCCCGCAACAUUAAAGCGACAGAGCGUACUCUCAAUUUCGGGAAAAACUAGGAAAAAAGGGAGAGGUUAAUAGAGAGAGGG